CUGGACUCUGAAUCCAGCGAUCCGAGUU
rnacentral:piRNA from 8 species